CCAGCUACGUGAGAGCCAUUUGCAGUUCUCUCCAGACACCUGGAGAAUGGGUGACGUUUCUGAGGAUCCGGCGAGCGUGCUUCUGUCAAAACUCAGUCUGUGAAAUUUCUGGGGAAAACCCUUCUGUGUCCUGAAGGGUUCAAACUCUGGUGAGGAUCCAGUUAUCAGGUGCUCACCUGGAUGGUUCCAGCUGCCAAAGGGAAAGACUCUCGUAUCCUUGUCGUCGGGCUCGGUGCUGUCCAAGAAGAUACAGAGACUAAAAAAAUCAUAAGAAGCAAAAUAUGACUGCAGGGAAAAGAAGCUGGAGAGAACAGAAGAUUAAAGCUUCCAUGGAGUCGGAUCUCUCAAGCCUGGCCCUUGAGAAUUGUGGGCCUCCUGUGAACUGGUCUUGCCAGAAGGGCUUGCUGAGUUUUCCAUUGUGUGGAAAAGAGAUCCCAUUUGCAGCCUGAAGCCUCGUGUUUCCUGUAGGAUUUCCACUCCUAGAAUUGCACACUUUGAAGGAUUUCUUAUAGCAGAAGUUUUUUGGGAACUAGGACUCUGGCUGGAUUUGGGUCUCUGGACUCUCAGGUGAAGUGACCUUGAGACACUAGGGCAUGCAGAUUUCCUUGCUGUUGAAAAGAGCUAUUGUACGCACCCAGGAGCCAUGGUCUGAAUGGGGGUGUCACCUCUUAAAUUUGCAAAUGUCACAGGAUUUCUUCUAAAUGAAUGGUGCUAAGAACAUAAGGUCUGGCUGGCUUUCGACUUAGAGGCGCCUCCUCUAAAUUGGUCUUCAGACGCUAGGUUGGAAAGUGUUCCUACAUAUGCCAAAUAGCCCUUGCUAUGCAAUUAAUAAGCUUCAAAUUACCAUGGAGUUGCUGCCCCUGCAAAGAUUUUGGCAGAGCCUGGUUGUGGUGCCCCACUCCACUCCACCACCCUUAGCAGGUCCUUAUGGUUGCAUGGGGAAUCAUCGUGGAGCAUGCUAACCCAGCUCCAUCCUGGGAACAGCACCUGUAUUUUACCCUAAAAUUUCUGUCCCAUUAUAGCUCCUGUUAGGAUACAAAUGUAACUUCUCGGUUUCCACUGAUUUUACCCCCAGUCAUCUUUCCAUACAGACAUUGCUCUACUCCCCAGAGGAUUAUUGUGAGCAGAUGUGAGCUCUGCUGUCCCUUUGGACUGACAAAGACAGAGGUUUUGUCCCAAGUUGCUUUUGAACCUGUCCUGCACCUGUUAUGAGUCCUCAGUCUCCUGCAAUUUUGUGGGUCAGUCACAUGUAAAACAGCACAGCUGGCUGGCAUGCUUUGCUCAUGAGGGGAGAGAAGAGAAGAAUCCCUCUGCUCACACCAGACCUGCAGCUGCCAAACCUCACCAAAGCACCUGAGGAGCCCCCAGGGACUGAUGGUACAGAAGGGAGGUGAUGGAGGACAGCACAGCAGGCAGCCUGCCCUCCAUCUGGGUGUGAAGAAGGCAGGGCUGGGAACUGUCAGCAACAUCCCAGCAGGUCUGGCUGAUGGUGCCACCCUGAGGGCUUCCCCUGCCUUUGGGCAGUCCCAGCUGCUGCAGCUCACUUGACAGACUCAUUGUCUAUACUGUGCUUGGCUGCACUGGAGAUGAUGAAGCCGAGGACAGCAAUGGUUGCCUUCACAUCCCCUGACUGCAGAUGGGAAGGAGGGCGAGCUCUGUCACCUUGGGAAGGCGUCUGCAGAGUCACUGCUGCCCGUCUCUGGAGCGUGGCUCCAUCGG